AUAACAAUCGGAUGAAAAUCUGGUUGAUCUUUCGCAAAGGAAAUUCAUAGUUCCUUGCACUUGCCACUAUUUAAUUUUACUCUAUUUACCGUGGACCAAUGAGUUACUCUGUCAACUAUAAGUUGGGCGUUGCUCUUAUUUCCUUUCUUUACAACUUCGGAGGUUGUUGUAUCGUCAACAUAUUUCCAUAUGUCAGCAUUCUGGAUAUCGCAAAGAUUUAAAUCGUUGAUUAAGACAAGAAAUAACCAAGGUCCUAGCUUUGUUCCCUGGGGGACUCCAGAGGGCACAGAACC